GACGAACGCUGGCGGCGUGCUUAACACAUGCAAGUCGAACGGAAAGGCCCUGCUUUUGUGGGGUGCUCGAGUUGCGAACGGGUGAGUAACACGUGAGUAACCUGCCCUUGACUUUGGGAUAACUUCAGGAAACUUGGGCUAAUACCGGAUAGGAGCUCCUGCUGCAUGGUGGGGGUUGGAAAGUUUCGGCGGUUGGGGAUGGACUCGCGGCUUAUCAGCUUGUUGGUGGGGUAGUGGCUUACCAAGGCUUUGACGGGUAGCCGGCCUGAGAGGGUGACCGGCCACAUUGGGACUGAGAUACGGCCCAGACUCCUACGGGAGGCAGCAGUGGGGAAUAUUGCACAAUGGGCGGAAGCCUGAUGCAGCAACGCCGCGUGCGGGAUGACGGCCUUCGGGUUGUAAACCGAUUUCGCCUGUGACGAAGCGUGAGUGACGGUAAUGGGUAAAGAAGCACCGGCUAACUACGUG
rnacentral:rRNA from 1 species